AUCCGAGCUUCUACGGUAAGCAACCUCCUUUCGGACUUCUGCAAGAACCAGACUCCAUCCGAACUUCUACAGCUGAUGGAUUCCAGACAAACUUCCAUAACGGACGGGCUCCAGUAGUUGGAUUUCUACAAUGACCGACUGUCUCCGGUGUCUUCCGUACCUCUCCAGCCAUCAACCUUCAACAGUGCCAAUUGAACUUCAACAGUGCCAACCAGGCCCC
rnacentral:lncRNA from 1 species